GCAGGAUUAUGUGAAAGCUGGAUCGGGUUUUCAGCGCUGGAAGAAAUCAAUUAUAUUAGCAUUUCGAAUAUUAUAAUUCAGCUUUAAACUUACAGAGGAUUCACCCAUGCAUUUGAUGCCUGGAUGAAAAAUAAAGAAGACAUUCUGGAACAGGGAUAUUGCCUGUUCACCAGUAAUUUCAAGUUAUUUGCAGACUUGGCGGAGCCCUUUUUUUUUGCAUUCGACGAAUUCCAUCUUAAAGAUAUGCAAAAUGCCCCAAAGGAGUUGUAUAAAUGGAAAAUAUUUUCGAUUGCGUUCUCCACGUUAAAAGGGGACUUGCAAAUUGUAUAUCUAAAAGCUGUAAGUAAAUAAAUCUAUUUUAUGUUCUAUACUUUUAUACCCUUGCAGAGGGUAUUAUAAUUUUGGUCAAAAGUGAGGAACGGCCGGGAUCGGUCAACUAUAUAGCUGCCAUAUAACUGAUUGAUCGGCUUUCUACUAAUGUGCGGGGAUUAUCUUAAUGGGCUUUGUUUCUUGUUAGCUAUUUCGGUUUGAUUCGAAAGGAAGAACUUGUUCAGGGCUCACUAUUUUACUCAUAUUUAUAUUCCUCUUGCGGCACAUUACUCCUACUAGUUUCCCCAUUCGAUUCAAUGUGAGUUAAACUCAAUGCCAUGUGAACGAACUCCGGCCGCAAUAAAUUUCAAAUGGAACCGAAUCUGAAAACUCAG